GACAUGAAAGACAUCAUGCAGACCCAUGAAUUCUCGGGAUAGAGUGAGGUGGUAUGCCAUAGGUCCAAUGCACUCGAUGAUCGAAAAAGGUCCCACAUAACAAGGGCUCAACUUCUCUCUCUUUCUACACCGCAUCUUGCCUUUGUAGGGGUAGACUUUUAAAAAAACUUGAUCUCCCACAAUAAACUCCAAGGGUCACCUAUGAUUAUCGGCAUAACUCUUUUGGUGGCU
rnacentral:lncRNA from 1 species